GGGUGUCGGACCGCGAGCGCGGUGCGGCAGGUUCAUGCGAAGGUCGGGCCGCCUCG
rnacentral:ncRNA from 16 species